rnacentral:rRNA from 1 species
ACACCAGUGGCGAAGGCGGCCUACUGGGCUUUAACUGACGCUGAGGCACGAAAGCAUGGGUAGCAAACAGGAUUAGAUACCCUGGUAGUCCAUGCUGUAAACGAUGAUUACUAGGUGUGGGGGGUCUGACCCCUUCCGUGCCGGAGUUAACACAAUAAGUAAUCCACCUGGGGAGUACGACCGCAAGGUUGAAACUCAAAGGAAUUGACGGGGGCCCGCACAAGCAGUGGAGUAUGUGGUUUAAUUCGAAGCAACGCGAAGAACCUUACCAGGUCUUGACAUCCAACUAACGAAGCAGAGAUGCGUUAGGUGCCCUUCGGGGAAAGUUGAGACAGGUGGUGCAUGGUUGUCGUCAGCUCGUGUCGUGAGAUGUUGGGUUAAGUCCCGCAACGAGCGCGACCCUUGUCAUUAGUUGCUACGCAAGAGCACUCUAAUGAGACUGCCGUUGACAAAACGGAGGAAGGUGGGGACGACGUCAAAUCAUCAUGCCCUUUAUGACCUGGGCUACACACGUACUACAAUGGCCAUCAACAGAGGGAAGCAAGACCGCGAGGUGGAGCAAAACCCUAAAAAUGGUCCCAGUUCGGAUUGCAGGCUGCAACCCGCCUGCAUGAAGUUGGAAUUGCUAGUAAUCGCGGAUCAGCAUGCCGCGGUGAAUACGUUCCCGGGCCUUGUACACACCGCCCGUCACACCAUGGGAGCCGGUAAUACCCGAAGUCAGUAGUUUAACCGCAAGGAGGACGCUGCCGAAGGUAGGAUUGGCGACUGGGGUGAAGUCGUAACAAGGUAACCUAAAGGCAAUCUAACUCG